CUGAAACCGUGUGCCUACAAGUAGUUAGAGCCCGUUAAUGGGUGAUAGCGUGCCUUUUGUAGAAUGAACCGGCGAGUUACGAUUGCAUGCAAGGUUAAGGUGAGAAGCCGGAGCCGCAGCGAAAGCGAGUCUGAAUAGGGCGAGUGAGUAUGUAGUUGUAGACCCGAAACCAGGUGAUCUACCCAUGUCCAGGGUGAAGGUAAGGUAACACUUACUGGAGGCCCGAACCCACGCACGUUGAAAAGUGCGGGGAUGAGGUGUGGGUAGCGGAGAAAUUCCAAUCGAACCUGGAGAUAGCUGGUUCUCUCCGAAAUAGCUUUAGGGCUAGCCUCAAGAUAGAGAAUCCUGGAGGUAGAGCACUGUUUGGACUAGGGGCCCAUCCCGGGUUACCGAAUUCAGACAAACUCCGAAUGCCAGUGAUUUAUGCUUGGGAGUCAGACUGCGAGUGAUAAGAUCCGUAGUCAAGAGGGAAACAGCCCAGACCACCAGCUAAGGUCCCCAAAUAUCCGUUAAGUGGAAAAGGAUGUGGCGUUGCUUAGACAACCAGGAUGUUGGCUUAGAAGCAGCCAUCAUUUAAAGAGUGCGUAAUAGCUCACUGGUCGA
rnacentral:rRNA from 1 species